rnacentral:rRNA from 1 species
AACGAACGCUGGCGGCAUGCCUAACACAUGCAAGUCGAACGAGACCUUCGGGUCUAGUGGCGCACGGGUGCGUAACGCGUGGGAACCUGCCCUUAGGUUCGGAAUAACUCCCCGAAAGGGGUGCUAAUACCGGAUAAUGUCUUCGGACCAAAGAUUUAUCGCCUUUGGAUGGGCCCGCGUUGGAUUAGCUAGUUGGUAGGGUAAAAGCCUACCAAGGCGACGAUCCAUAGCUGGUCUGAGAGGAUGAUCAGCCACACUGGGACUGAGACACGGCCCAGACUCCUACGGGAGGCAGCAGUGGGGAAUACUGGACAAUGGGCGAAAGCCUGAUCCAGCAAUGCCGCGUGAGUGAUGAAGGCCUUAGGGUUGUAAAGCUCUUUUACCCGGGAUGAUAAUGACAGUACCGGGAGAAUAAGCACCGGCUAACUCCGUG